rnacentral:rRNA from 1 species
CCUGGCUCNGGAUUNCGCUGGCGGCGUUCCCUAACACAUGCAGAAUCACACGAGAAAGGGGGCAACCCUGAGUACAGUGGCGUACUUGUCAGUAACACGUGGAUCAUCUACCUUUUAGUGGGGAAUACCCCUGGGAAACCGGGGACAAUACCGCAUAAGCCCGCAAGGGGAAAGCAGCAAUGCGCUGAAAGAGGAGUCCGCGGCUGAUUAGCUAGUUGGUGAGGUAAUGGCCCACCAAGGCGAAGAUCGGUAGCCGGCCUGAGAGGGCACACGGCCACACUGGCACUGAAAUACGGGCCAGACUCCUACGGGAGGCAGCAGUGGG